rnacentral:rRNA from 1 species
AUGAAUUGCUUCGAGUUAAGGGUGCAAACUUGUAAGAAGGUGACGACAAACAUCUCCACUUAUUUUUGGGGUGGAACUUUGAACAAGAGGAACAUGCAUUGGCUUUGGUGUGACCAUAUGACAAGAGCAAAAGCUACAGGUGGGAUGGGCUUCCGGGAUCUCGAAGUGUUUAACCUUGCCAUGCGAGGUAAACAAAGCUGGAGACUAUUGAUGCAACCUGAUUCUCUUUGUGCGCGGGUGUUGAAGGGGAAAUAUUUCCCUCAUACAGACUUCCUCCUUGCUACAAAGAAGAAGAAUUCAUCCCAUACUUGGAGAGCGAUUCUAUCUGGACGGGAGGUGAUGAUGAAAGGCCUAAUUAAAAGAGCGGGCAGUGGGGAAACAAUUGAUGUUCGGAAUGAUAAGUGGAUCCCGAGUGUGCGAUGGUUGAAGCCUUUAUUCAAGCCUGUUGACAGUACCGUCUCGAGAGUCAGCGAACUCGUGAACGAAGAUGGCUAUAGCUGGAAAAUUGAUCUGAUGCGCAUUCAGCUUGCGCCCCUCGAUGCUGCUGAAGUAUGUAAAAUUCCCAUUGGAGGGCUAGAGGAAGACACUCUAGCUUGGGCUCAUGAGAAACAUGGCAACCACUCUGUUCGAUCGACGUAUCACAUGAGGCCGCAGUUAUAA